UCUUAGAAGCUGGUUUGGAAGGUAUUCUAACCUGAGCGAGAGGGUGUUUGACCCUUGGACCGCCUUCGUUUGGUCUUGGAGGACCUUCUGGAAGCUUAACGUGAGCAGGAUUGCGACCUAGUGGAGCUGAUCCUUGGAACUCCUUGGAC